rnacentral:tRNA from 1 species
GCGCCCGUAGCUCAACUGGAUAGAGCACCUGAUUACGGAUCAGGAGGUUUGGGGUUCGAAUCCCUACGGGCGCGCCA